GUGAGCGUAGCUCGACAGGCUGAGCGUCGGUCUUCCAAACCGAAGGAUGCGGGUUCGAUUCCCGUCGCUCACUCCA
rnacentral:tRNA from 1 species